rnacentral:lncRNA from 1 species
AUUUAAAUUUUGGUUAUGUACUUAUAUUAAAACUCAUUUAGUUUUCAGGAUUAUUCUCAUCCCCAAUAUACCAAAAGAUGGAAGUGACCAAUGGCAUGAUUCCCAGGAGGGUGAACGGGAACACUGAAAUCAUGGAUAUGUCACAUGUGUGGCUGAGAAACACUGAAAUUUCUUAUACCAGAUCAGAGCACCAUUGAGGCUGCAGUGAAGAUAGCAAUAAUGGGUUUCUUUCAGAGGAUCUGUGAUGGGACUGCUGCAGCUGCAACAGGUUCCCUAGAAAUUCUGUAAGACGAAGCAAGAGGUGAUCAGGUGACCCAUCUUCUGGCUCUGUUCUACAGUAACUGUGUUUCCUCCAGUAAGAGUGUCUUAG